CACGCACUGCCUGCUUUCUCACUCUGGUAAAGUGAUAGAUUGAAUGUGGGACUGAAAAAACUAGAUGAGUACUUUAACGUGCCGGAAGACCCCGGCCCCUUGGCCCGUGGGGCUCUCCAGACCAUCUACAGGACUGACUUCAAACCCUUCAACGAGCACCCCCUACAGGUGUACCAGCUGAACACCCAGCCGCCCCGCACUCAUCACCCCACCCAAGGAAUAUGGCCCCCACAAUCAGACAGCUACCUACCGUCG